CCGACUUCAACGUUUUUGAAUGAAGCCGUAUUCGGCUCGGAGCCACGUACUGUGUUUUAAGUCCCCAACACUCCGCCUCUCCGACAUCGUAGCCGCCGUUACCACCACCGCAGGCAACACCUCCAUCUUCGCCACUCCAAUAAAUCCAUAGAAUUUUCCCAUGCCAUCGGAUGCUCAACUCUCUCACCACUCUGCGUCGCCACUACCCAAACCUCCUCUCUUCUCUACACCACCUCACCACCAAAACAACAACCAUUCCUUCCCUUUCCAACAACUCACACCUUAACCCUUCUCUCAAACCCCACCUUCUAGAACUAUCCACCGUUAUCCCCGAUAUCACGCGCCAAUUUUGGAGGGUUUCAGUUUUGAAACCCCAGCACGUGCUCCAAAUUCUACUUGGUUUUCAAUCCGAGUGUACUCGCAUUGGUCUUCAUGUUGAAAAGGUUCGAUCUUUGUACGAAAUUUUCAAAUGGGGUGUUGAGGAAAAUAACACCCAUUUUUUACAAUCUUAUGAGGUUAUGUCAUUACUUCUUGUUCAUGCUGGGUUGUUUACAGAAGCUGAGGAUUUGAUUACUUCAUUAGAGGGUAAAGGAGUUUCAUUAGGGGAGAUCGGUAGUGGUAUUUUUGAUAAACUAAUUGAAGGGUAUGUUGGAGAGAAGCAAUUGGAAAAAGCGGUUUUUGUGUAUGAGAAAAUGAAGGAAGGAAGAAUGGUUCCUUCGAGGUUGUCUUAUCGGGUUCUGCUUGAUUACUUGGUGAAGAUGAAGAGAGCACAUGCCGCGUUUCGUGUGGCGUCUGAUUUAGUGGAAUUGGGUGAGUCUUUGUGUGGUGAUGAGAUGAGAAAUGUAGAGGAUGUUAUGGUUUUGCUUUGUGUCGACGGGAAGAUUCAAGAAGCGAGAAGCUUGAUUCGGAAGGUGUUGCGUUUGGAAAACUAUGAGGUUAGUAGCUUGGUUUUCGAUGAAAUUGCUUUCGGGUAUUGUGAGAAGAAGGACUUUAAAGAUUUGAUUAGUUUCUUUGUUGAAGUAAAUUGUGUUCCUAGUGUGAUAGCUGGAAAUAGAGUUAUGAAUUCGAUGUGUAAAAGCUAUGAUGUAGAAAGAGCGAGUUUGUUUUUGAAGGAACUCGAAAGUGUAGGUUUUUGUCCUAAUGAAGCAACCUAUGGGAUGUUAAUUGGUUGGAGUUGUUAUGAAGGGAAAAUGAAAAAUGCGUUGAGUUAUUUAUCGGUUAUGCUGUCAAAAAGCUUUGUGCCGCGUUUAUGUACUUAUAAUGCUCUUGUAAGUGGAUUGUUUAAAGUAGGUAUGUUAGAGAAUGCUAAGGAUAUUCUUGAUGAGAUGAUUGAGAGGGGAAUGAUACCUGAUAUUUCGACUUUUAGGGUUCUUAUAGCAGGGUAUUGUAAGUCAAGACGGUUUGAUAAAGUGAAAAGUUUGGUUCGUGAGAUGGAGAGCCGUGGUUUGGUUAACCUUUCUUCGACGGAGAGUCCACUUUCCAAGGCGUUUCAGAUUUUGGGUUUGGACCCUGUGAAUGUGAGGUUGAAACGAGACAAUAACAAGAAACUUUUCAAAGCAGAGUUCUUCGACGAAAUGGGGAACGGACUUUAUUUAGAUACAGAUGUUGAUGAAUUUGAGAAUCAUGUUAAUUCAGUUCUUGAAGAAUCCGUGUUACCGGACUUCAAUUCAUCUGUUAUGAAAGAAUGCAGCAGCAAUAACAUAAAAAUUGCGCUGGUUUUGGUUGAAGAGAUGCUUUGUUGGGGCCAAGAAUUGCUUUUGCCGGAAUACUCAAAAUUAGUGAGACAACUUUGUUCAUCUCGCUCGCAAAUCACGUCAGUUAUCAAACUUUUGGAGAAAAUGCCACGGUCUGCUCGCAAACUCGAUCAUGAAACCCUCAAUUUGGUUGUUCAGGCAUACAUCAAGAAGGGUUUACUUUGCCGAGCAAAAUCUUUACUCGAUGAAAUGCUUCAAAACAAAUUUCAUAUCGAGAACUCGACGUAUACCUCCUUACUCGUACCUUUAUGUAAAAAAGGAAACAUGAAGGACUUCAAUUAUUAUUGGAACAUUGCUUGUAGAAAUAAAUGGUUACCAAAGUUGGAGGAGUUUAAACAUCUUCUUGGCCAUAUCUGCCAUCAGAAAAUGCUUCCCGAAGCAUUACAGUUUCUUGAAAUCAUGCUUUUAGCAUACCCUCUCCAAAGGUUAGAUAUAUAUGAUAUAUUUCUAGAAGUACUUUCUUCUGUGGGUCUUACUGAUACUGCACUUGUAAUUUUAAAACAACUACAAUUUUAUUCAUUCUUCGAUCAAGCUGGUUAUAGUAAUCUUAUAAGGGGCUUAUGCAAAGAGAGAAAAUUUCCGCUAGCUUUUACGAUAUUGGAUGAUAUGCUUCAGAGAAAUUUCGCACCUUGUUCGGAUGUUUCGGUUUUGUUAAUCCCUCAACUGUGCAAGGCUCGUAGAUAUGAUGAAGCUAUUGCGCUAAAAGAUAUCAUUUUGAAAGAACAGCCUUCGAUUUCUCAUUCUGCUGAUUGUGCUUUGAUAUGCGGAUUUUGUUAUUCGGGUAACAUUGAGAAAGCGGAUUCUCUGUUCCGAGAUUUAUUAUCUAAAGGACUAGUUUUAGAUGAUGAGCUUUGUAAUAUGCUCAUUCAGGGCCAUUGCAAAACUAAUGACUUGAGAAUAGUCGGAGAGUUACUCGGUGUUGCAAUAAGAAAGAGCUGGGAGCUGUCUCUCUCAAGUUACAGAAAUUUGGUGUUAUCGAUGUGUAUGAAGGGAAGAGUCCCGUUCGCACUGAGCUUAAAGAAUCUUAUGCUUGCACAAUGUUCACUUGAUGACGUUAUCGUAUAUAACAUUCUUAUUUUCUAUCUUUUGUCUAGUGGAAACCAUUCGGUUGUUAAUAAGAUACUAACUGAAAUGGAAGAGAAGAAAGUUAUACUCGACGAAGUUGGUCAAAAUUAUCUUGUUUGUGGUUUUUUGCAAUGUAAAGAUUUAUCCAAUUCUUUGCAUUAUCUGACUACCAUGAUUUCGACGGGGCUCAAACCGAGUAGCCGCAGCUUAAGGAAGGUAAUAAGCAGUCUGUGCGACGUCGGGGAAGUACAAAAAGCCGUGGAGUUGAGUCGAGAAAUGGGAUUAAGAGGAUGGAUACACGAUUCUAUCAUCCAAACACGAAUUGUGGAAAGCCUUCUUUCUAAUGGUGUGGUAAAAGAAGCAGAAAGUUUUUUGGACAGAAUGGAAGAGGAAUCUCUAACUCCUGACAAUAUCAAUUAUGAUUACUUGAUUAAGCGUUUCUGCCAGUACGGAAGAUUGAAAAAAGCAGUUCAUCUUCUGAACACAAUGCUAAAGAAAUCCAACAUACCGAUUUCCACCAGCUAUGAUUUUCUCAUUCAUGGAUUCUGUGCACAAAAUGAAUUAGACAUAGCUUCAAAUUUUUAUUCUGAGAUGCGAAACUGGAAUCUCAAACCAAGAAUCAACACAGUGGAAAGACUCGUGUUUAGCUUCUGCAAACAUGGGAGGACAGAACAAGCAGAACAGUUCUUAGUGGACAUGAUUCGCGGAGGCGAAACGCCAACGAGAAAAAUGUAUUGCGCUGUGAUUAAAAAUUAUCACAUGGAAAAGAAUCUUAAAAAGGCGUCGGAGCUCGUGCAAGCCAUGCAGGAAAAGGGCUACCAGCCUGAGUUUGACAUACAUUGGUCUCUGAUAAGCAACUUAAGCGAUGCCAAAGAAAAGGAUGCUUAUGAUGGUGGUGGUAGUAGAGGCAAAAGGCAGAGACACAGGGAAGAUGUUGUUCACCCUUUGAAGAAGGAGCAUCUCAAGUUCAGAAGAAGGGGUGGAAAUCUUAUUGUAGAGCACACUUUGUCCCUCACUGGAGCUUUAUGUUUGCCCUGACUCUAGCAAAGUUGCUAUUAUUGAUAUCUUUGAGAUUGAAACGCAAAGGCACUCGAACAUGAAGAAAACAGUAGAAAAAAGCUGCUAAGGAUCCGAACAAGCCCGAGUACCUUCUCUGUUCUCAUGUAACCAUGUCAAUAGCAGAUCUUGGUGGCACAAAUAUAGAUUUGAGAUUUUUCAGCUCUAAGGGAGGACACCUGUUUGUUAUAGUCACUCAUUUCCUUAGAUUCUCUGACGUGACAAAGACAAAACUUCAUUUGCAUCAUUGUAUAAUGAAGAAACUGGAUACGCCAGGAAGCAAUUAUCUUCACCCAUGCUUGUUUUGUGUUCAAAACUGCAUAAGUACCGAUCAAAGCCAUCACUGGAUCCAUUUUCAUUUUCAAUUCAUGAAAGUGAUAAUGUUUGGACAAAAAUUGCAGUUAGUGACGGAUUAUCCACCAAAAAGGAAAACCUUGAAUUCAUGAAGUCCAAAUAUUCCAAAUGCUCAGGGAUAUACCCUAGGUUAAGUAAUCCAUGUGAAUAGAAUCCAUUUAAUCAAGUGCUUUUCAAGAAACUGAACCAAUCAUCAUCUUCUGAUCAAGUAUCAAGCAUCCUUUUGUGGAAAUAAAUAAGUCUGCGCCAAAACCUAUGUGAGACCCUAGUUUGCUCCAUGAUUCUUGAUCCCAUGCUUUUAGAUGUUUUAUUUAAUGAAUGAAUGCAAAUUCAUGUUAAUUCCCUAAUGGAGGACCCUAGUUUGUAAAGAAUGCACCAUACCAUGUGUACACCAUAAACCUCUCUACUUUUCAUCACAUGAAACCCUUCAUUUUGUCAAAUGUAUGUUGGUCAUGUGACAAUGGUUGGACCCACAUUUCUCCCCUUCCAGCCAUAAGGGAAUGACCCAUUCUUUUUCUAAUAACUUGUUUGCAAAACUCUAUCUUCUCCUUUGGUAGAGGUUUUGUCAUCAUGUCUGCCCCAUUCUUAAUCGUGUGAACUUUAUCUACUUUUAACAAUUUUCCCUCCAACACAUCACGAAUCCAAUGAUAUCGCACGUCAAUGUGUUUUGACCUUGAAUGAUAUGUCGAGCUCUAUCGCAAUAGAGAACAUAACUUUCUUGAUUAUGGCCUAACUCUUAAAGGAACUUCUUCAUCCAUAAGAUCUCCUUAAAACCCUCAAUGAUGGCGAUGAAUUCAACUUUCGUGGUACUCAAAGCAAUGCACUUUUGUAAUCGUGAUUUCUAUGAGACACCUCCCUUGCAAAAGUAAUCAAAUACCCGAAAGUAUAAUUGCUUGAUGUUGUUCUAUUUGUCUUUUCCUGUCCCAUCACUUGAGGACAGAUAAUGGUUUAAGUUUGUGGGUGUGUUAACCCACAUUUUACGAGUUAAUACAUGCCUUUGUAGUUGUUUAUUCAGUCUUAAUAUUUUGUUUAUUUACUACAAUUUCCUUCAUUGUGAGUUUUUUAGUUGUUUUAGCUUGGAGCACAAUAGGUGCUCCAUUUAAUGGUUUAACUUGUGUUUUGUGUAUGCAAGGGUUAACAAAGUCAAUCCGAGGCAAGACUGCACAAGUCUACUGCAUGGAGCACAAGCUGAAGGAACUUGGACCAAAGAGAAUUAAUAAUGGAAGCUGCUAGCUAAUGAGGAUGGCAUGGAAGGAAGUACUAAAUGUAUGGAAAACAUGGUGGUGCUGAAAAAUGGAAGAAACUAUUCAAAUUCAAAGUAAUAGUGAAGGCGCUAGAACACAGAUGUUGGUACGAUACUACGGUACUCCUACAGAGCGCGCCGCCUGCACUGUUGUGGCAGACUACCACACUACAACUUGUCUCCCACCGUUUUCUACUUUGUAGAAAAAUUCCUUGAUCCUAUGCUAUAGAAUUAUGUUUUGGCGCUAUUUUAUAUGGGCUUGAUGUGCUUUUAUGAACACAAGUCCAUGAUCCAAUACAACAUACAAACCCUAAUCGUUGGUUUAUAAAUAGAUUUGUGUUGGAGAUUUUAAGGGAGAUCACAUAUUCCAAAAUUCCAUUACAAAGAGUUCAACUGCAUAGAUAGUGGAAGUGUGAGAAAGUCUUAUUUCCUCAACCAAUUAUGUGUUAGCUGAUGAGAAUUGGCACGGCUGGAGUCAUCUCUUGAAGAUUAAGUG